UUUGGAGGGAAAAGUUAUCAGGCAUGCACCUGGUAGCUAGUCUUUAAACCAAUAGAUUGCAUCGGUUUAAAAGGCAAGACCGUCAAAUUGCGGGAAAGGGGUCAACAGCCGUUCAGUACCAAGUCUCAGGGGAAACUUUGAGAUGGCCUUGCAAAGGGUAUGGUAAUAAGCUGACGGACAUGGUCCUAACCACGCAGCCAAGUCCUAAGUCAACAGAUCUUCUGUUGAUAUGGAUGCAGUUCACAGACUAAAUGUCGGUCGGGGAAGAUGUAUUCUUCUCAUAAGAUAUAGUCGGACCUCUCCUUAAUGGGAGCUAGCGGAUGAAGUGAUGCAACACUGGAGCCGCUGGGAACUAAUUUGUAUGCGAAAGUAUAUUGAUUAGUUUUGGAGUACUCGUAAG
rnacentral:misc_RNA from 1 species